CAGAUCUUAGGUCAAUCUCGU
rnacentral:snRNA from 1 species